CCAAGAUGGUGGCCCAGGAAACUUUAUGCCUGGGGGAAUUCUCGUCUCAACCCCAGGGCUUGUGAGCAGGCUUGGCUCUGAGCUGGAGCUGGUCUGCUUCUGGUGGAUGGUGGCCCUGUAUGGACAACUCAGGCAGCUCUUGGUCCUUGAUCUCCUCACCUUGUUGCGUUAGCAUAGUGGUUCCACCUUAGCAAAAGGUAUCACUCCUUGCACCCUCAUCCGGACGUCUGGGGAAUCAUACUUUUGGGGGAUGUGGCUAACCUUGCCCAAAGCCUUUCUGUAUUUGGGUUUUGGUGGAUCCUGGGUCCACAGCUAAAGGGAUGCAAGGCCUGAGUCGGGCAGAGAUUCGGGUUCCUUGGCUGGUUUACUCAAGGAUGGGGAAGGGAACAUGAGAAUUUAAAUGAGAGAAGUGUGGGUCUUGGUUCAGGGCUGUGCACAGAAAGCAAACCCUGAAUGAGAGAGGAGGAAGUAAAAGUCCAUUUAAAUACACUACACGUUCCAUCAUUCAGACAGACAACACCUUCAACUCAUGCUUAACUUGGCAAAUUGUCAUUAGAUACAGAUAAUCAUCAAUGGAUCUUGUAGCGUCAUUUACGGGCAGUUCCCAGAAGGAAGAUGACAUUUCAAACCAAAUGGAGUUCAAAAUUUCUGCUGCUCAUUCGUAAACUGCUUGUGGCCUAACUCAGUUCCCAAGAGUCCUGUUAGUAAUUCUGCCUUUGUCUUUUUCUUUCCUUUUACUUUAGCAUUGGAGCCCCAAGGGCUCACCAUCAGCAUAGACUCUUCUCACCAAUACCUUACCUACCUGGGAUCUGUUGUAUGAGAAAUUCAGAAACCCCCUUUUUGCAUAAGGAAACCAUCAGGAGCUAAAUCAUUUUUUUACAUACAAAGCUAAGUGGUUUUCAAUAUUACAUGUUAACUACAGACCUUCAUUAUGGAAAAUGUUGUGCCUCUGGACUUACGGCAACCUCAAAAUAUUUCAACCUCAAAAUAUUUCGGACAAACCAUUAAGUUUACUUGUAAAUGGAAGCUAAAAGCCUACAUUUUCCAGUAUAUCAUUGAGAAUUGUCUUGAGCUGCAAGUAACAGAAAACUUCUCUACGGUUGCUUAGCUACAUAGAGAUUUGUUUAAUUCUCAACAUAAUGAAGAAUCCAGAGCUCUUCAACUGAUUGGAGGAUGUCCACUCACAUUGGAGAGGGCAAUCUGCUUUUCUCAAAGUUCAGCCACUCAAAUGUUCAUUCAUCCAGAAAUGCCCUUGAAGAUACACACAAUAUAACAUCUGGCCAAAUAUCUGGGCACCCUGUGGCCCAGAUUGACACAUAAAAUUAAACCUCACCAUCUUGCCUAGGGGAAGGAUUUUCUCAUCAUAAAUGCCAUUGUAGAAAUCAUGAAAGAAAUGAUUAGUACUUCCUACUGUGUCUUAAGUUUCAUGCUUUUGCCUUCACUAUAGAAUACGC